GACGAACGCUGGCGGCGUGCCUAACACAUGCAAGUCGAACGGAGAGGCCCUGCUUUUGUGGGGUGCUCGAGUGGCGAACGGGUGAGUAACACGUGAGUAACCUGCCCUUGACUUUGGGAUAACUUCAGGAAACUGGGGCUAAUACCGGAUAGGAGCUCCUGCUGCAUGGUGGGGGUUGGAAAGUUUCGGCGGUUGGGGAUGGACUCGCGGCUUAUCGGCUUGUUGGUGGGGUAGUGGCUUACCAAGGCUUUGACGGGUAGCCGGCCUGAGAGGGUGACCGGCCACAUUGGGACUGAGAUACGGCCCAGACUCCUACGGGAGGCAGCAGUGGGGAAUAUUGCACAAUGGGCGGAAGCCUGAUGCAGCAACGCCGCGUGCGGGAUGACGGCCUUCGGGUUGUAAACCGCUUUCGCCUGUGACGAAGCGUGAGUGACGGUAAUGGGUAAAGAAGCACCGGCUAACUACGUG
rnacentral:rRNA from 1 species